rnacentral:rRNA from 1 species
CCUACGGGUGGCAGCAGUGAGGAAUUUUGGUCAAUGGGCGCGAGCCUGAACCAGCCAAGUCGCGUGAGGGAAGACGGUCCUAUGGAUUGUAAACCUCUUUUGUCGGGGAGCAAAAGACGCCACGCGUGGCGUUCCGAGCGUACCCUAAGAACAAGCAUCGGCUAACUCCGUGCCAGCAGCCGCGGUAAUACGGAGGAUGCGAGCGUUAUCCGGAUUUAUUGGGUUUAAAGGGUGCGCAGGCGGAAGAUCAAGUCAGCGGUAAAAUUGAGGGGCUCAACCUCUGCGAGCCGUUGAAACUGGUUGUCUUGAGUGAGCGAGAAGUAGGCGGAAUGCGUGGUGUAGCGGUGAAAUGCAUAGAUAUCACGCAGAACUCCGAUUGCGAAGGCAGCAUACCGGCGCUCAACUGACGCUCAUGCACGAAAGUGUGGGUAUCGAACAGGAUUAGAUACCCGAGUAGUC